rnacentral:rRNA from 1 species
AGUGAACGCUGGCGGUAGGCCUAACACAUGCAAGUCGAACGGCAGCACAGUAAGAGCUUGCUCUUGCGGGUGGCGAGUGGCGGACGGGUGAGGAAUACAUCGGAAUCUACUUUUUCGUGGGGGAUAACGUAGGGAAACUUACGCUAAUACCGCAUACGACCUACGGGUGAAAGCAGGGGAUCUUCGGACCUUGCGCGAUUGAAUGAGCCGAUGUCGGAUUAGCUAGUUGGCGGGGUAAAGGCCCACCAAGGCGACGAUCCGUAGCUGGUCUGAGAGGAUGAUCAGCCACACUGGAACUGAGGCACGGUCCAGACUCCUACGGGAGGCAGCAGUGGGGAAUAUUGGACAAUGGGCGCAAGCCUGAUCCAGCCAUACCGCGUGGGUGAAGAAGGCCUUCGGGUUGUAAAGCCCUUUUGUUGGGAAAGAAAAGCAGCAGGUUAAUACCCCGCUGUUCUGACGGUACCCAAAGAAUAAGCACCGGCUAACUUCGUG